UGAAAUUUCAAAGGAGUGGCAUGUGAACACAUAUCCUAUGGUUUCUUCAAAUUUCCAUUGAAACCAUUGAGUUUUGUGUUCUCAGGUCACCCCUUUGAAUCUCCC
rnacentral:pre_miRNA from 14 species